UCCGGUUGAUCCCGCCGGACCUGACUGCUAUCGGAUUGAUACUAAGCCAUGCGAGUCUUUGCAGUAAUGCAAGGCAUACGGCUCAGUAACACGUAGUCAACUUACCCUAUGGACGGGGAUAAUCUCGGGAAACUGAGCAUAAUACCCGGCAGACCACUUAUCCUGGAAUGGUUAGUGGUUAAAAUGAUUCGUCGCCAUAGGAUGGGACUGCGGCCUAUCAGCUUGUUGGUGAGGUAAUGGCCCACCAAGGCGAUUACAGGUACGGGCUCUGAGAGGAGAGGCCCGGAGAUGGGUACUGAGACAAGGACCCAGGCCCUAUGGGGCGCAGCAGGCGAGAAAACUUUGCAAUGUGCGAAAGCACGACAAGGUUAAUCCGAGUGAUUUCUGCUAAAGGAAUCUUUUGUUAGUUCUAAAAAUACUAGUGAAUAAGGGGUGGGCAAGUUCUGGUGUCAGCCGCCGCGGUAAAACCAGCACCUCAAGUGGUCAGGAGGAUUAUUGGGCCUAAAGCAUCCGUAGCCUGUUCUAUAAGUUUGCGGUUAAAUCUAUACGCUCAACGUAUAGGCUGCCGUAAAUACUGUAGAACUAGGGAGUGGGAGAGGUAGACGGUACUCGAUAGGAAGGGGUAAAAUCCUUUGAUCUAUUGAUGACCACCUGUGGCGAAGGCGGUCUACCAGAACACGUUCGACGGUGAGGGAUGAAAGCUGGGGGAGCAAACCGGAUUAGAUACCCGGGUAGUCCCAGCUGUAAACGAUGCAGACUCGAUGAUGCAAUGGCAUAGAGCUAUUGCAGUAUCGCAGGGAAGCCGUUAAGUUUGCCGCCUGGGAAGUACGUACGCAAGUAUGAAACUUAAAGGAAUUGGCGGGGGAGCACCACAAGGGGUGAAGCCUGCGGUUCAAUUGGAGUCAACGCCGGA
rnacentral:rRNA from 1 species